rnacentral:lncRNA from 1 species
AGACUCUAAUUGCUGAUGAAUGUGCAAAACUGGGGUCAUGAUUCCUUUCUAUUGUUGUUUCUUUUCUUUCUUUCUUUCUUUUUUUUUUUUUUUUGCUCCUUUUCUGGAGUCUCACAUAACCCAGGCUGGUCUCCGUGUAACUCCUAAUCCUCCUGCCUCCACUUCCCAGGUGCCAGGAUUACAGGCAUGCACCACUACCCCUGGCCAACGUUUCAUUUUAGCUGCAAAUCGCCAGAUUAACGGGAGGAUGAACGAUAUGAAGAAAGAUUUUGGUGAAAGGGAACAUACUAUGGAAAGUGAGACAGUGUUCAUUGAACUGAUCUAUAUGCUGUAUUCCCUUGAGGUUAAAGAGGCUGAGGCUUUGGCACUUGGUGAAGGCCAUCCUGUUGCAUCAUUCCCUGGUGGAAGACAGAAAGACAAGGAAGCAUGGGAGAGGA